CGGGAUGUGGCUCAGCUUGGUAGAGCGCCUGGUUCGGGACCAGGAGGUCGAAGGUUCGAAUCCUUUCAUCCCGACCA
rnacentral:tRNA from 1 species